GGAAGGUGGGGAUGACGUCAAAUCAUCAUGCCCCUUAUGUCCUGGGCUACACACGUGCUACAAUGGCUGGUACAAAGAGUUGCAAUCCUGUGAAGGGGAGCUAAUCUCAAAAAACCAGUCUCAGUUCAGAUUGAAGUCUGCAACUCGACUUCAUGAAGCCGGAAUCACUAGUAAUCGCGAAUCAGCUAUGUCGCGGUGAAUACGUUCUCGGGUCUUGUACACACCGCCCGUCACACCAUGAGAGUUGGUAAUACCAGAAGUAGGUAGCUUAACCGUUUGGAGAGCGCUUCCCAAGGUAGGACUAGCGAUUGGGGUGAAGUCGUAACAAGGUAUCCGUACGGGAACGUGCGGAUGGAUCACCUCCUUU
rnacentral:rRNA from 1 species